AGAGUUUGAUCAUGGCUCAGGAUGAACGCUGGCGGCGUGCUUAACACAUGCAAGUCGAACGAGAGAGGAUCGGUGCUUGCACUGAUCCAAUCGAGUGGCGGACGGGUGAGUAACGCGUGGGUAACCUGCCUCAUACAGGGGAAUAACAGUUGGAAACGGCUGCUAAAACCGCAUAAGCGCACAGUAUCGCAUGAUACAGUGUGAAAAACUCCGGUGGUAUGAGAUGGACCCGCGUCUGAUUAGCUAGUUGGUGAGGUAACGGCCCACCAAGGCAACGAUCAGUAGCCGGCCUGAGAGGGUGAACGGCCACAUUGGGACUGAGACACGGACCCCAAACGUCCGUAACGGGAGGCA
rnacentral:rRNA from 1 species